UGAAGACUCAUUACUCGAAGUUGGUAGACACUGGUGUUGACCCUCAUAGUAAACCAUACAAAGGGGUCGAUUAUGAGGCUUGGGUAUACAUGAUCGAUCAUGUAUGGCUUGAUGGCGAUUAUCAGAACUUGGCUAAAAAAACAAGGGAUAGUCGAGCGAGGUUACCAUAUAAUCAUACAAUGGGCUCCAAGUCAUUUCAAGCUGCAAUGUAUAAACAGGGUACCGAGAAGACUGACUUUGUAGACUUCUACAAAGAUUCCCAUUG